rnacentral:rRNA from 1 species
CCUACGGGAGGCUGCAGUGAGGAAUAUUGGUCAAUGGACGCAAGUCUGAACCAGCCAUGCCGCGUGAGGGAAGAAGGUUCUGUGAAUUGUAAACUGCUUUUGUACGGGGGUAAAGGCAGAUACGCGUACCUGGAUGAAUGUACCGUACGAAUAAGGAUCGGCUAACUCCGUGCCAGCAGCCGCGGUAAUACGGAGGAUUCGAGCGUUAACCGGAUUUAUUGGGUUGAAAGGGUGCGGAGGCGGUCGGGUAAGUGAGAGGUGAAAUCCCGGGGCUCAACUUCGGAAUUGCCUCUGAUACUGGCAGGCUAGAGAGUGGGAGAGGUAGGCGGAAUGUAUGGUGUAGGAGUGAAAUGCUUAGAUAUCGGGCAGAACACCGAUUGCGAAGGCAGCUUGCCGGCUCAACACUGACGCUGAGGCACGAAAGCGUGGGUAGCAAACAGGAUUAGAUACCCGUGUAGUC